UACGUAGGGUGCAAGCGUUGUCCGGAAUUAUUGGGCGUAAAGAGCUCGUAGGUGGCCUGUCGCGUCGGCUGUGAAAACUCGGGGCUCAACUCCGAGCUUGCAUUCGAUACGGGCAGGCUAGAGUUCGGUAGGGGAGACUGGAAUUCCUGGUGUAGCGGUGAAAUGCGCAGAUAUCAGGAGGAACACCGGUGGCGAAGGCGGGUCUCUGGGCAGUAACUGACGCUGAGGAGCGAAAGCGUGGGGAGCAAACAGG
rnacentral:rRNA from 1 species